AUACGUAGGGGGCGAGCGUUGUCCGGAAUCAUUGGGCGUAAAGGGCGCGUAGGCGGGCUUGUAAGUCUGAUGUGAAAGUGCGGAGCUUAACUCCGUAAAGCAUUGGAAACUGUGAGUCUUGAGGACAGGAGAGGAAAGUGGAAUUCCACGUGUAGCGGUGAAAUGCGUAGAUAUGUGGAGGAACACCAGUGGCGAAGGCGACUUUCUGGACUGUAACUGACGCUGAGGCGCGAAAGCGUGGGGAGC
rnacentral:rRNA from 1 species